rnacentral:rRNA from 1 species
GAUGAACGCUGGCGGCGUGCCUAAUACAUGCAAGUCGAGCGAACAGACGAGGAGCUUGCUCCUCUGACGUUAGCGGCGGACGGGUGAGUAACACGUGGAUAACCUACCUAUAAGACUGGGAUAACUUCGGGAAACCGGAGCUAAUACCGGAUAAUAUAUUGAACCGCAUGGUUCAAUAGUGAAAGACGGUUUUGCUGUCACUUAUAGAUGGAUCCGCGCCGCAUUAGCUAGUUGGUAAGGUAACGGCUUACCAAGGCAACGAUGCGUAGCCGACCUGUGAGGGUGAUCGGCCACACUGGAACUGAGACACGGUCCAGACUCCUACGGGAGGCAGCAGUAGGGAAUCUUCCGCAAUGGGCGAAAGCCUGACGGAGCAACGCCGCGUGAGAGAUGAAGGUCUUCGGAUCGUAAAACUCUGUUAUUAGGGAAGAACAAAUGUGUAAGUAACUAUGCACGUCUUGACGGUACCUAAUAAGAAAGCAACGGCUAACUACGUG